rnacentral:misc_RNA from 1 species
GAAAGGUGAAGUUGAUGUAGCUCGAAGUAGGAUUGACACCUACAUCAGGUCCUCACUGCGUACUGUUUUUGCUCAGAGAAUGGAGAAAGCAGACUCAAGCAGAAGAGCAUCCAAAAAUCAGCCCAAUCCUCUUCCUGUUUUGGCAAUCCUUGCAAAGGAUGUUGGAGAGCUGGCACUUAAUGAGAAGCGAGUAUUUAGUCCAAUACUGAAGAGAUGGCACCCUUUGGCAGCAGGUGUGGCUGUGGCCACACUGCAUGCUUGCUAUGGAAAUGAGCUAAAACAGUUCAUAUCCGGCAUAAUGGAAUUAAC